AGUUGAAACUUCCGCGACUUGCAGAAACUUUAUAGAGAACUAAAAAUACCAUCUAAUGUGAGAUUAAAAAAUUCAUUAUUCCAGUUUAUGAUAAUAAAUAAAUAUACACUUAUAAAUUUAAUUUCCUUGAAGAAAAUAACAUUUGAAAAAUUACGAGUGUUUUGUCAGCGUUAAAAGAUUACAAGUAACUAAAAAGCGCAGUAUUUGGCUGAAAAAUAAGAAUUCUUCGCUAAAAAAGAAUUAAGAAAAUCAUAAUCGAAGAAAUGCCGCGUAAUUACUUCACGAUAGUAACAGAUUACUUGAAGGGCUUGGAAACAAAUACCGACAAUAUUAUUCAAGUCAUUAAAAAAGACCAUCGCGAAGUAAAAUUAUCCGAAACGAAUCAGUGGAUAUACAUAACAAGAGAUAUAUCUUCUCCAGAGCAGAUAUCGUUACACAGAUUCAUCUGUACAUUUAAACUAACUUUCUUUAAAUAAUUCACGAUGCCGUAAUACGUAUAUACAUAUACAAAUUGUGUCGGGUGUGGUAUCGAUAAUAAAACCAUCGUUUAGUCAGUGAGCCGAAGCACGGUGGCACGAACCCGAUAAUAAGUCUAAUAAUUAAUUAUAAUACAACGACGAUGAAGGUACUAUCAUCGAGAAAAAAGGAAGCUGCUAAGGUCGGCGCAGUCCGCUCGACACUCUCAUCGCUCUCGUUCUCACAGUCGUCAAUUAAGGUAUAAAAAUAAUAGCCUCCAGUCGGCACACUAAAUUAGUCCGCCAACUGUACAUAUACGAAUGUGCAGAAUUCAUAUCUGAGCAUUUAUCGUCCUUCGUUUCUCUUUCUUUAUUCGCAUUUAUGCGUUUUCGUCUCGCGACACAAAGGUAGCGGCUAAAAAACGGAAACUCAUUCGCAAGUCACACGGCUUCGGUUUUGGUUUUUCAUUCUUCCUUUCAUUCUCUCUUUUACUCUUUGUUACACGCUCGCACAUUCGCACAAUCUCUCGUUUACUAUUCGCGUAAAAAUAGUUAGGCACUAAAACAAUAAUAUAAGUAAAGUCCGUCAGUCCUAUGUGAGUUCAGCUAAAAGUUAAUCACAUGUUUCUUCUUUUAAUCUUCUUUUUCUCUUCUCUCUCUCUCUCUCUCUCUCUCUCACUCUCUUUCUUUCUUCGUACAGUUAACGUCCGUUGUAAUAACUAGGAUCACUGUGAUUAAACGCACGAAUGCUCGAUGUCUUGACGAUCGCUAACCCUUUUUCCCUUACUUUUUAUAAAUAACGAAAUUGGUUGAAGCAAGGAACUGUGUGGUACGUAGUGUUUCUUACCGAGUCGUUACAUUCAAGUCAUACGAUCCGACUAAUUCUAGGUCCGUUGACCUAUCGGUCUACCUCACGACAGCGAAUAUGCUUCUCUUUUUAUAGUAAAAACGACAUGCUUCUCUUUGACGUUCUCUUUUCUCGCUUUUUCAACACGCAGUUAUUCGUUUAUUUCUUCUUUUCUUGUUUUUAUUAAACGUGUAUAUUUUUAAGUGAGAAUAUCUGGGACAUUUGAAGAUUCGAAAAAUUUCGAAGAAAAGGAAUUCUCUUUUUGAUGUAAUCAUAUUUCGAGGAAAUUGAAAGGAGAAUCAGAACUUUUAGGAGUAUGAUUAAAAGUAUUUUGCUGUACGCUGCAGAAAUAUGAGGCUGGAAGGAAGCAAAACAUGAAUACAGAAUAUAUGAGAGAAAUAUAUUAGAUGGAUAAUGGCUGUGGACUUCAUCUCAUCGUUUCUAAUGUUUAAUCCUCGAGGAAACCAAAACGAAUGGAUAGAAUAAAGUAAGGAUAGAGGCAAGCAAAAGAGCAAUAAGAUGCGAGCAGAAAACCAAACGGUUAAAUAAGUAUAAAAUAAUACAAGAAUCUUGAAGGGAAAUAGAUACGAAGGAAGAAGAUAAGAAGCGAACUGGGAAGAAAUUAGAGACACAUACCACAGACAGAAAAUGACAGGUAUUAAAGAAGUGCAAAUGGAAAAAAA